UUUAAAUUAAACUCGUCUCCAGCCCCUCCGAUCUGCAGCUCGAUCCGGGGCAGACACUGGUGAGGGAAGCCAGAGAGACGGGCAGGCCUGCUGGCAGUCAGUGAUGCAUGAUGGAAGGGACCGGGACUGCGCGGUGGAAGCAGCACUCCCUCCAAAGCACUCACUAAUGACCGAGGACAGCCCGAGUCUUCUAAUCACCUUUAAUGUGCACUUUAGAAGCUGACUUUAAAGCAGGAGAGAUAAGCAGCCUUCUGCCGUGAUUGUAAGUUUCCUGAGGCCUCCCCAGCCAUGUGAAACUCACUAUUUACAGCAGUCAAAAGGUGAAGCUAUUUAAGCAUCCAUCUACAGACGAAUGGAUAAAGAAAAUGUGGCACAUGUACAUGAUGGAGUACUAUUCGCCACAAGAAAGGAUGAGAUCCUGUCAUUUGCACCAAGGUUGACGGAACUGGAGGUUACUGUAUCAAGUAAAAUGAGGCAGGCACA